GCUAUAUACUGCAGAUUCAUUUGAGGAAGUUGCGAGGAACACAUUUGUACACAAGCCUUCUUCUGACAUGACCGCAAACAAGAGUGGGCCGUCUAAGAGCGCCGCAGAGAAGGCCGCGUCCACAGCGGCCGUAGCGCAGCUGCAGGGCGAGGUCUGCAAGAUGCAGUCUCUGCUCACAGAGCUCGUCACCAUAAAGAAGCAGAUCUCUGACCUGGGGGCCUGUCAGCAUCCCUGUGAUGAGGUCGCAGAGAGGCUCAGCCAGCUCUCUGAUGACCU